GUAAAAAAGAAAAAUGAAACUGUCAUGAAAAAGUUUCGUUGUCAAAAAUGACAUAAAAAAUAACUACAUGGCCUACAGAUUUUAGAGGAAAUGUGAUCAAAUGGGGUGGAGCGAGAUGUCCCCGUUUUCCCAUUAUACUGGCUAUGGUAGAACUGACUUAUAUUAAUACAUUUAUAGUUUUAAUCGUUGGCAUCCACAUUUGCUACGUUGUGCUUAGCUUCGAGCGAGUCGAUCGUGAUACUGGGGGCUCUUGCAAAGCUGCCGACUGUCAGACAGAUGUAAUAGAUGUAAAAUCCGCAUGUCACAGCGCCUGCGACUGCGAAGACUUCGCAUAAACAUACGAACAUGACUCACCAGUAACCGCAAGGAUUUGGCAGAGGAGGAAAGAGAUUGCACACAUUGCAGCUGAAGUGAUAGUAGACGUUUUAGCAUGGGCUACAAUAAUUUUGGGAACCUAUGUAUUGAUACUAUGCUGAAUUUCAUCAACAGAUAUUUCACUAAAAGUAACACGCAAGCAAAACAGGAUCCUCAAAAAGAACAGAAAAUAAUCUCUGAAAGAUACUUGCUGGAUUGCCUUGCGUUAUUAAGCUCUAUGUAAUUCUAGUCAAACUAACAGGCAGAAUAUUGCCUUAAUUUUAUAGAAGAUAAUUGAAGAAAUAAAAUUAGCACAAUGAUAAAAAUAGUAACUUAUAAAAGAGUCAUCUGGAAUGGAACUGGUUAUAUGGAACAGGAAACUAAGUUCUUCCAAUUCCCCGACUCCCCGUGUCUCUUCCGCAUAGCAUCACAAAAAUUCAUGGACUGAGUUCAUUCCUAUUCAUAUAAAUAUUUUUAUUGACAUUCGAAUAACCUCUAAUGUUUCAAAGAAAAUAAAUAUUUUUUAGAAA